rnacentral:rRNA from 1 species
AACGAACGCUGGCGGCAUGCCUAACACAUGCAAGUCGAACGGGAUCCUAGCUUGCUAGGUGAGAGUGGCGGACGGGUGAGUAACACGUGGGAAUCUGCCUUUUGGUUCGGGAUAACCGCGGGAAACUGCGGCUAAUACCGAAUGCCCUCGAGAGAGGAAAGAUUUAUCGCCAGAAGAGGAGCCCGCGUCCGAUUAGGUAGUUGGUGGGGUAAAGGCCUACCAAGCCGACGAUCGGUAGCUGGUCUGAGAGGAUGAUCAGCCUCACUGGGACUGAGAUACGGCCCAGACUCCUACGGGAGGCAGCAGUGGGGAAUAUUGGACAAUGGGGCAACCCUGAUCCAGCAAUGCCGCGUGAGUGAUGAAGGCCUUAGGUUGUAAGACUCUUUUGCCAGGGAAGAUGAUGACUGUACCUGGAGAAUAAGCCCGGCUAACUUCGUGCCAGC